rnacentral:rRNA from 1 species
AGUGAACGCUGGCGGUAGGCCUAACACAUGCAAGUCGAACGGCAGCACAGUAAGAGCUUGCUCUUACGGGUGGCGAGUGGCGGACGGGUGAGGAAUACAUCGGAAUCUACUUUUUCGUGGGGGAUAACGUAGGGAAACUUACGCUAAUACCGCAUACGACCUACGGGUGAAAGCAGGGGAUCUUCGGACCUUGCGCGAUUGAAUUAGCCGAUGUCGGAUUAGCUAGGUGGCGGGGUAAAGGCCCACCAAGGCGACGAUCCGUAGCUGGUCUGAGAGGAUGGUCGGCCAAACGGAAACUGAGACAGGGUCCAGACUCCUAGGGGAGGAAGAGGUGGGGAAUAUUGGACAAUGGGCGCAAGCCUGAUCCAGCCAUACCGCGUAGGUGAAGAAGGCCUUCGGGUUGUAAAGCCCUUUUGUUGGGAAAGAAAAGCAGCAGGUUAAUACCCCGCUGCUCUGACGGUACCCAAAGAAUAAGCACCGGCUAACUUCGU